ACGAGCCAUAUGAGAUGAAAAUCUCACGUACGGUUCUGGAAUGAAGAUUUUUUUAUGGAUCGUACCAUUUGAGCCUUUUUUCAUAU
rnacentral:sRNA from 1 species